GACUGUGGAUCAGCAAGCAAACAAGCAASUAGAAGCAUGGCUUUUCACUGCGGCUCAUGCAACAAGUCUUUCACAGAAGAGACAAAUCUAGGCAUCCUUUCGGUUAAGUUGCUUCCCGCAUCGUUCACAGGUGAAUGAUCGCCCACUAGUUACUGAGUAUGAUCAAUUCGAUUACUGCAGACGCUGAAUGAGUACCAAUUCGCUAUUGGAUAAAAUACUUUAGAGGAGAUGAAAAUACUUUAGAGUGGUAUUUCUAAGUUCAUGUUAGAAAGAAUACAUAAUCGUCGUAUAACUAUGAAAUAUGGUUGAAUAAAACCGGGAUAUGUUCCGAAAA